AUACAGCUGACAAGUCCCAAACAGGACGAAUCGCGUGUCCUGGAU
rfam:Schistosoma rodhaini strain Burundi genome assembly, scaffold: SROB_scaffold0003541